UGCCCGUCUCAGCCUCCUAAAGUCCUGGGAUUACAGGCAUGAGCCACCGCCGCUGGCCCCGAGUGUGUGUUUUUGUCUUGGACUGGCCACAUAUUGCCCUUAGCCACAUGUGGCUUUAGCUGUCCUUCCAGGCAGGCUAUUCCGGGGGCAGAGGUGACCAUCCCUGUAACCCCGAGCUUCCAGCUCCUCUUCUGGAAGCAGAAAGCAGAGACUAUGUCAUUAGUACUAUGAGAAGCCUGGUUCUUUGGACUGUAGUUACUUUUUUUUUUUUUUUUUUUGACAGGGUCUUGCUCAAGGCUGGAGUGCAGUGGCAUGAUCAUAGCUCACUGUGGCCUCCAACUCCUGGGUUCAGGUGAUCUGCACACCACAGCAUCCCAAAGCUCUGGAAUUAAAGGUGUGACCUCUGCGUCCUGGCCUGUAGUUACUCUUUAAGUAGUUCCUUCUUUGGUUGACCUCCUUUUUGUUUUAUAAAUGCCAGGCUGCUGUGUUGUCCUGAGUAAAUCUUGGGAGUUCAUUGUAUGAACUUUUCAUGGGAAUACUUCAAAUAAUGUAGAGAGACGCAGCCUCGGGCUGGAGACAUGCUGGGUCGAUGAGGAGGGAAUCCCAGAGAGACGCACAGGAUUCUGAGCUUCUUUGGAGGAUUUGCAGCCCUGCCUACUUGGGGCUCUUCCAGCAUUUUCAGUGGAAACCCAGGAAAGCAGCCAAAUCAAUGCACUUCCAGGAGAUCAGCGACCUCUCUCCUGUGCUAGCACGAAGUCCGGAGUCUUACAAAGGGCUGUCUUGCUCCUUUCCCUAUCUUGUCAUGCCAGCCUCCUCUACCCAUCCUCCAGGUUAACAUUAGGAUUUCAAAACCAAAGUGGAAUAGAUGCUUUAAAUUCUUAACACACCCAGAUGUGUGAAGAAAAGUGAAUGCAAAUGUAUAUGGCUCUCAAAGCCCAACCAGAGACAUUGUAUGGUAACAGGACUCCUUCAUGCCCUUCUCUUUUGCUCUUUUUCCGUUUUGCUUGCCUUACAGCUUACCCCUACCAUUACUCUACCAAUGUUCUUGCUUAAGGUGCCUAUCCUGUUCUCUUAGGGCUUUGCUCUUAACCAGCUGUUAGCUAACUUCAACUGUUAUUUGAUAUUGAUGAGAGUUUUUAUUUCAAGAAGGAUUUGUCUUUUAAUGAGAGAUUCUUCAACUAAAAAGCACUUAUUAUGCACAAGAAUGAAUUUCACAUUAUAGAAAGUCAUGGAGUAAAUUCUGGACAGAGUUUCUGCUCAAGAUCUGUUGCUUGAUCAGGUUAUUUGUAUUUACCAAAGUGGAGGCAUGGAGUCUAUACAAAGAAGUGGAUGAUCAGAAACCAGAACAGAGUUUUAUAACAGUUAUAGCUGUAUGUGGGACCACAGCCUCUUAGCUUUCAUGUAAGCUUAUACUAAAUUUUCCGCUUUUCAGUUCCAGAGGUUUUGUAUUUAUAUAUUUAUAUGAUAAUCAGGGCAUUAUGUCCAUGAAGGUAAAAAAGGGUUUUUUAAAAAAAAUAAGUGGACACAUUUUUUGAUAUAUUUAAUUUUUCUUAUUUUUAGUUGAGAGUGCACGAUUUGUGAGUCCUCUUCAGCUUGGUGUUUAAGGAGAGCGGGGUGAGCUCAGUGAAUGUGGUUUAGCAGGAGAGCAUUUGAAUCUCACAGAGGAGUCAGCCUAUGCCCUAGUUCUAAGGCACCUCUGGUCCUGUGUGACCACGCCUGGGAGGCAACAGCCCUGAGCUCAGUUUCCUCCUCAGCAAAAUGUAGCCAAUGACGGGUUGUGAAGUGUGAAUGAGAUCAGGUCUGUGAACGUCACUUUGUAAACCCUUAAAGCACCAUUUCAAUCUUUCAUUAAAUAUUAACUGAAAGGAGCACUCACAUAGAAAUGUCACUGUCUACCCCCAACUAACUUUCCCCUCUUUUCUCACUUCUUCUUUUUCACAGAACCAGGCUACAUAUCUUGUCAUUAAAUUUAAUCAAUAAACAUCUAGUGAGUUCUACUCA
ensembl:lncRNA